rfam:Oryza glumipatula chromosome 8, whole genome shotgun sequence.
AAAAAGGCAAACCCUGGGUUUCCGUGCCAACAUUUGAUUGUCCGUCUUAUAUGAAAUUUUUUUAUAAUUAGUAUUUUCAUUGUUGUUAGAUGAUAAAACAUGAUUAAUACUUUAUACGUAACUUAUCUUUUUAAUUUUUUUCAUAAUUUUUUUAAAUAAGGCGGACGGUCAAACGUUGGGCACGGAAACCAAGGUUUGUUUUUUUU